rnacentral:rRNA from 1 species
AUUGCACGCUGGCGGCAGGCCUAACACAUGCAAGUCGAGCGAGCGGCGGACGGGUGAGUAAUGUAUGGGAAUCUGCCUGAUGGAGGGGGAUAACUACUGGAAACGGUGGCUAAUACCGCAUACGAUCAGAUGAACCCAUAUGGGAUUAGCUAGUAGGUGGGGUAAUGGCUCACCUAGGCGACGAUCCCUAGCUGGUCUGAGAGGAUGACCAGCCACACUGGAACUGAGACACGGCCCAGACGCCUACGGGAGGCAGCAGUGGGGAAUAUUGCACAAUGGGCGCAAGCCUGAUGCAGCCAUGCCGCGUGUGUGAAGAAGGCCUUAGGGUUGUAAAGUACUUUCAGCGAGGAGGCGUUACCCGCAGAAGAAGCACCGGCUAACUCCGUGCCAGCCGCCGCGGUAAUAC